AAAUUGAAGAGUUUGAUCAUGGCUCAGAUUGAACGCUGGCGGCAGGCCUAACACAUGCAAGUCGAACGGUAACAGGAAGCAGCUUGCUGCUUCGCUG
rnacentral:rRNA from 4 species